rnacentral:lncRNA from 1 species
AAAUGGACCAAAGUCUCACACAGUAGGCAACUUAACUCAGAACCCCAGACAAUUUAUGGAGGUUAAGAAAGGUCACAGGAGUAAAGUUCUUGUGAGAUCAAACUGAAUACAAUUACAAGAACUGGCUGCACUCGGCAAAAAUGUGUUUUUCCAUAGAGGCAUAGAAAAUUUAAACAUUUAAUGGAGUAGCAGCAACAAGCAAUAACGAGUAUUGGAAGUAAACUCGUUCUUAUCUGCUACCCCUGGGAGGAGCAUGGACCCAUAUUCCAGGAUCAGUUCUGAGUUUUGAAUAAACUGAAGUCACAUGCCUUUGUUUUCUUGGAGUGUUCGUUCUCACAAGCACCCAGAGUUUUCUUCACAUGGCUGCAUUCCUGGACAGUUUUCUAACAGCCAGAUGUCAGGUUGGUCAUCAGCAUGGCAUGGGGGUGUCACCUGUGUUUACGUUAUCAGCGAAGGCAUUUGGUCUCUUUCAGAAUAACCAUAUACUGGUUGGUUUCACUGUGCAACCAUUACAGACCCAUAGCUUCCUGUUGUUUUUCCCUCUGACAAUAUGUUUAUUGUCCUCACAGGAAGAAUCCGCUCCAUUUUCAACACUUCAGCCACCCUGGUGAUAGUGACUAUGGAGCUGUACCUGUCACAGACGAAGGCGUGACUGGUGACAGGCCUGAGUGUCCCUAUGGGGCAUCUUGUUACAGG